UACGGAGGGUGCAAGCGUUAUCCGGAUUCACUGGGUUUAAAGGGUGCGUAGGUGGGCAGGUAAGUCAGUGGUGAAAUCUCCGAGCUUAACUCGGAAACUGCCGUCGAUACUAUUUGUCUUGAAUAUUGUGGAGGUAAGCGGAAUAUGUCAUGUAGCGGUGAAAUGCUUAGAUAUGACAUAGAACACCAAUUGCGAAGGCAGCUUACUACACAACGAUUGACGCUGAGGCACGAAAGCGUGGGGAUCAAACAGG
rnacentral:rRNA from 1 species